rnacentral:SRP_RNA from 1 species
GCUGGGCAUGGUGGUGCAUGCCUGUAAUUCCCGCCAUGCGGAGGCUGAAGCUGGAGGAUCUCUUGACCUCAGGAGUUCUAAGCUACAGUGUGAUAAGCUGAUUGGGAGUCCACAUUAAGUCUGGUACCAAUAUGAUGAGCCCCAAGAAUGGGAGUGUCGAAGGAAGGAGCAAACUGGCUGAGGAGAGAAACCAGGGCUGUUAAAGUUUCUGUUAUUGAUUGUCACUGGGGUCAGGCCUGUGAGUGGCCACUAUGCUCCCAGCCUGGGUGAGAUAGGGAGACUCAGUCUCA